GAUUUACUGAUUUUUUUUUGCCUUGAAGAAUUUCACUGAAAUAUUUUUAGGAUGAAAAUGAGCAAAGGAAUUCAUAGGAAGCUCUCAACCACCAUGAUGGCUCUUUGAUGUUUGUAAUUUUUUUUCUUAUAUGCCAUUAGUUCAAAGUAUUGGUCUUCUCCUCCUUUUCCAGUAAUUAGUUGUUAUAGGCUAUCACUUUUUAAUGUAAGCGAAAAUUAGACAAUUUGGUGAUACUUGUGAAAACAUGCUCCCAAAUAAAUUCAAUUUAUGGGCACUUCCCCACUGAGAUUUUGUUAUCAUUCAUCUAAUUAUCUUGUCAAGCUCUCCCUUGUGACAAUUGUUUGGAUUUUUGUAGUCAGCAAACUGAGAGACUUUCUCCAAUGCACUUGACAUAAUAAUAGUGCACACUUCACAUAACCAUCUGUGGUCUCAUCAGACAUUUCCAAUUGAUAUCGACAGUGGCCCUUUCUGAUCCCUUUUCCAAAGCUUUCUCAUUUGAGUUCAUCCUGGAACUUAGCUGGAUUUAUAAGCAGGACAGAAAUUAGCUUCAAUUGACAAGAUAUUUUUAAAGGGCUGCCUAGAAGAUAGAAUUGACUAUCCAACCUCCUGCUGUGCAUAAGUGCCUUUUUCCUGGGUUUUGUUUAUACUACUGUAGAAUUGAGUUCGUAUUUGCAAAUGCUAUGGAAAUCCAAUUUAGAAAGAUGCUUAGAGGAUAACAGUUUUGUAAAGAGCCAAUAAUGUGAGUGAAUUCUUUUUUAGGAAGGUUCCCCCCCACACACACAUUUAAUUCAGCUUGACUUAAUGGCAUCCAAGCCCAGAUCCAUGCUACAAAAUAGACAUUAUGGUGUUUAGGUACUUUUGCUUUGUUGUUACUUUUGUUUUUAUUUUCUCCUUCUUUAGUGGCAACUAUGGGUUUCCUCCUCCUGGUCCACUGAAAAGUAACACAGAUAACUGAUUUCUACUCAACUAAUCUGAGCAUGUAGAACCUUUAGAGAAAAAAAAACAAAAACAAAUUUUAACUGACGUCAAUCAUUAUGAAGGUUUAAUCUAAAACACAAAGGAAAUAUUCAACUUGAUGAGAUGAUAUUUUGUCUUUCAGCUCUUUGAGGAGUAAAACAAAAUCAUGGGCUUCCCAGCCCCAUGUGUUUCCCAGAAAUUAUUCCAUAUUUCCAUUCCAGCAUACUGACAAAACUCUAGUCGAGCAUUUGAGACCUUUGGAGCCAACAUGCUGGAUUUUUCUACAUGGAAGUGAAUCAUAGUCAUUAAAGCUUUAAAGGGAUCUUUAUAAGUACUGUAACACAACAACAAAAAUAUCAGCAGAUGAAAUUAAUACCAAGGGAGCAUUUACUAAAUGCCAUUGGCAGAGUUGAAAUCUAUGUUACACGGUGUGUUUUAUGGGAUUGUUAGUGUUCUUGAUGCCUCAUUUCCACCAACCAGAAAGAACAAAGCAUAUGUCAUGAUUUUUUUUUGUAAAAAAUAAAAAAUAAAAAAAAAUCAAUAAAAAUGUGGGAGAGUGUGCCUUCAGUUUGCUGUAAGUGAUUUAGUUUGUGUUUGGAC
ensembl:lncRNA